rnacentral:rRNA from 1 species
AGCAGCCGCGGUAAUUCCAGCUCCAAUAGCGUAUAUUAAAGUUGUUGCAGUUAAAAAGCUACGUAGUUGAAUUUCGGGAUCGAAUAUAUUUGGUCGUGCCUCGGUACGUACUAGCAUAUUGGUUUCUCCUUUCUGAAGAACCAUGAUGUCAUUUAUUUGGUGUCGUGGGGAAUCAGGACUGUUACUUUGAAAAAAUUAGAGUGUUUAAAAGCAGGCUCACGCUUGAAUACAUUAGCAUGGAGUAAUGAAAUAGGACGUUUGAUUCUAUUUUGUUGGUUUCUAGGAUUCGACGUAAUGAUUAAUAGGGAUAGUUGGGGGCAUUAGGUAUUCAAUUGUCAGAGGUGAAAUUCUUGGAUUUAUUGAAGACUAACUACUGCGAAAGCAUUUGCCAAGGAUGUUUUCAUUAAUCAAGAACGAAAGUUAGGGGAUCGAAGACGAUCAGAUACC